rnacentral:tRNA from 1 species
GGUGGCUCAGGGGUAGAGCGCUUGCCUCGCAUGCAGGAGGCCCUGGGUUCGACUCCUCGGUACCA